rnacentral:lncRNA from 1 species
UAUAAUUUUUAAUUUAGGGUUAUCUGAAGUUAGAUAUAACAGUAAUGGUAAAAGGAGAUCCUGUCAAGGAACCACCAAGUGUGAAAGAUAGUGAUGAUGAUGUUGAUUUGAAUCCUUUACUGCCUGAAGGUAUAAAGCCAGAAAGAAUGAG